GCGUCUUUCAGGCGUCCGAGUUGUAAUCUAUAGAGGCGUUUUCCGCGCCGGACCGCGUCCAAGUCUCUUGGAAUAGAGUAUCAAAGAGGGUGACAAUCCCGUACUUGACGCGACAACCGGUGCUCUGUGAUACGUUCUCAAUGAGUCGAGUUGUUUGGGAAUGCAGCUCUAAAUGGGUGGUAAAUUCCAUCUAAGGCUAAAUAUUGGCGAGAGACCGAUAGCGAACAAGUACCGUGAGGGAAAGAUGAAAAGCACUUUGGAAAGAGAGUUAAACAGCACGUGAAAUUGUUAAAAGGGAAACGAUUGAAGUCAGUCGUGUGAAAGGUAUUCAGCCGUCUCUGGCGGUGUAUUUGCCUUUCACGGGUCAACAUCAGUUUGAUCCGGUAGAAAAAGGCGGGAGGAAGGUGGCACCCUCGGGUGUGUUAUAGCCUCCUGUCAUAUGUGCCGGACCAGACUGAGGAACGCAGCUUGCCGCAAGGCCGGGGUUCGCCCACGUACAAGCUUAGGAUGUUGACAUAAUGGCU
rnacentral:rRNA from 1 species